rnacentral:misc_RNA from 1 species
UGAGAAGAAACCCAGCAACACACCCCAGUCAACACCAAUAAUUUGAAAAAAAAAUAAUAAAUAGCUUAGAGAUGUUGGAUGCGGCUGGCGACCUGAAGAAAAAGAGUGAGGUGGGUUGGCAAUCUAAAGAUGCGCCUGGGAUUUGUGGGAAUUCUGGGUUGCAGGACUCUUGUGCAUUGCUCUACGUUGAAAAAAGAUCCAUGGAGACCUCCG